rnacentral:rRNA from 1 species
AUUGAACGCUUGCGGCAGGCUUAACACAUGCAAGUCGAACGAUGAUUAUCUAGCUUGCUAGAUAUGAUUAGUGGCGGACGGGUGAGUAACAUUUAGGAAUCUGCCUAGUAGUGGGGGAUAGCUCGGGGAAACUCGAAUUAAUACCGCAUACGACCUACGGGUGAAAGGGGGCGCAAGCUCUUGCUAUUAGAUGAGCCUAAAUCAGAUUAGCUAGUUGGUGGGGUAAAGGCCCACCAAGGCGACGAUCUGUAACUGGUCUGAGAGGAUGAUCAGUCACACCGGAACUGAGACACGGUCCGGACUCCUACGGGAGGCAGCAGUGGGGAAUAUUGGACAAUGGGGGCAACCCUGAUCCAGCCAUGCCGCGUGUGUGAAGAAGGCCUUUUGGUUGUAAAGCACUUUAAGCAGGGAGGAGAGGCUAAUGGUUAAUACCCAUUAGAUUAGACGUUACCUGCAGAAUAAGCACCGGCUAACUCUGUGCCAGCAGCCGCGGUAAUACAGAGGGUGCGAGCGUUAAUCGGAAUUACUGGGCGUAAAGCGAGUGUAGGUGGCUCAUUAAGUCACAUGUGAAAUCCCCGGGCUUAACCUGGGAACUGCAUGUGAUACUGGUGGUGCUAGAAUAUGUGAGAGGGAAGUAGAAUUCCAGGUGUAGCGGUGAAAUGCGUAGAGAUCUGGAGGAAUACCGAUGGCGAAGGCAGCUUCCUGGCAUAAUAUUGACACUGAGAUUCGAAAGCGUGGGUAGCAAACAGGAUUAGAUACCCUGGUAGUCCACGCCGUAAACGAUGUCUACUAGCCGUUGGGGUCCUUGAGACUUUAGUGGCGCAGUUAACGCGAUAAGUAGACCGCCUGGGGAGUACGGCCGCAAGGUUAAAACUCAAAUGAAUUGACGGGGGCCCGCACAAGCGGUGGAGCAUGUGGUUUAAUUCGAUGCAACGCGAAGAACCUUACCUGGUCUUGACAUAGUGAGAAUCCUGCAGAGAUGCGGGAGUGCCUUCGGGAAUUCACAUACAGGUGCUGCAUGGCUGUCGUCAGCUCGUGUCGUGAGAUGUUGGGUUAAGUCCCGCAACGAGCGCAACCCUUUUCCUUAUUUGCCAGCGGGUUAAGCCGGGAACUUUAAGGAUACUGCCAGUGACAAACUGGAGGAAGGCGGGGACGACGUCAAGUCAUCAUGGCCCUUACGACCAGGGCUACACACGUGCUACAAUGGUAGGUACAGAGGGUUGCUACACAGCGAUGUGAUGCUAAUCUCAAAAAGCCUGUCGUAGUCCGGAUUGGAGUCUGCAACUCGACUCCAUGAAGUCGGAAUCGCUAGUAAUCGCAGAUCAGAAUGCUGCGAUGAAUACGUUCCCGGGCCU